GGAUGAGAUAUCAAAUAUUAGCUGGAAUUGCUGGAGUAGAAGCUAUGAUAAAACAUACAUAAUAUGAAAUUUUCCAACUUAAGCACUUCUAAGUGUACACAUAGUACUGCUAGGUACACAAUCUUAAGCAACCAAUCUCCAGAACUUUUUCUGCUUUAAAGUUAAAACUCUAUGCUGAUUAAACAACAACUUUUUAUUUUAUGGAGUCCUUUUCACGUGGUAGCCACCAUUCUACUUUCUUUUCUUUUCUUUUUUUUUUUUUAAUGAAUUUGACUAGUUUAGAUACCUUAUAAAGAGGAAUUACAGUGUUUGUCUUUUUGUGACUUAUUAACUUAGCCUAAUGAUACCAAGUUUCAUCCACAUUGUAGCAUAAACCACAUAGUGUCUGUCUGUUCAUUCCUUGGUAGAUGCUGGGAUUGUACUGUUAUGAAUAUGGAUGCGCAAAUAUGCCUUUGAGAGCCUGAUUUUAAUUCUUAUGGAUAAAUAUCCAGAAGGGGGAUUGCUGCAUCAUAUGCUGCUGUGAAAAGGGUUGAAUUCUUGAUUUGAUUCUCAGCUUGAAGUCUGCAUAGCCAAAGCAAGACUAAGCAAAAAGAACAAAUCUGGAGGUAUCACAUUACCCAACUUCAAACUACUACAGAGCUGUAGCUACUGAAACAUGAUGGCAAAGGUAUAAAAACAGACAUGUAGACCAAUGGAACAACAUAGAGAAUCCAGAAAUAAAAUUGAAUACUUAUAGCCAUCUGAUCUUUGACAAAACAAACAAAAACAUAAAGCGGAGAAAGGACAGCCUAUUCAACCAUUGGUGCUGGGAUAAUUGACAAGCCACAUGUAGUAGAAUGGUACUGAAUUCACAUCUCUCACCUUAUAAGAUAGAUGAAGGAAUUAAAUCUAAGACCUGAAACAAUAAAAAUUCUAGAAGAUAACAUCAGAAAGUCUUUUCUAGACAUUGGCUUAGACAAGGACUUCAUGACCAAGAACCCAAAAGCAAAUACAACAAAAACAAACAUAGAUCGACGUGACUUAAACUAAAAAUCUUCUGCACAGCAAAAGAAAUAAUCAGCUGAGUAAACAGACAACUCACAGAGUGGGAGAAAAUAUUCACAAACUAUGCAUCUGACAAAUGACUAAUAUUCAGAAUCUACAAAGAGUUUGAACAAAUCGACAAGAGGAAAACAAAUAAUAUGAUCAAAAAGUAGGCUAAGAUCAUGAAUUGACAAUUCUCAAAAGAAAAUAUACAAAUGGCCAACAAACAGAAAAAAAUGCUCAACAUCACUAAUUAUCAUGGAAAUGCAAAUCAAAACCACAAUGCAAUACCACUGUCCUCCUGUAAGAAUGGACAUCAUUAAAAAACCCCAAAAUAAUAUAAUAUUGGCAUGGAUGUGGUAAAAGGAAACACAUAAACUAGCACAACCACUACAGAAAACAGUAUGGAGAUUCCUUAAAGAACUAAAAGUAGAUCUACAUUUUUACCCACCUAUCCUAUUACUGGGUAUCUACCCAUAAAAAAAGAAGUCAUUAUAUGCAAAGACUCAUGCACACACAUCUUUACAGCAGUACAAUUCCCAAUUGUAAAAAUAUGGAACAAACCUAAAUGCCCAUCAAGCAAUGGGUGUAUUAAAAAAAUGUGGUAUACACACACACACACACCGUGGAAUACUACUCAGCCAUAAAAAGGAACAAAAUAAUGCCAUUCAUAGCAACCUGGAUGCAGCUGGAGACCAUUAUUCUAAGUGAAGUAAUUCAGGAUUAGGUAACCAAAUAUUUUAACUUCUCACUUACAAGUGGGAGCUAAGCUAUGAAAAUGCAAAGGCAUAAGAAUAAUACAAUGGACUCUCAGGACUCAGGGAAGGGUCAGAGUGAGAAGAGGGAUAAAAGACUACACGUUGGGUGCUGUGUACACUGCUCGGGUAAUGGGUGUGCCAAAAUUUCAGAAAUCACAACUAAGGAAUUUAUCCAUCUAAUCAAACACCACCUGUUCCCUAAAGUCUCUUGAAAUAAUUUAAAAUUUCUAGCAAACUUCCAGACACAAAACAUACAACAUUUUGUGAUGAUAAAUAUCACAGUUGCCACAU
rnacentral:lncRNA from 10 species